GACGAACGCUGGCGGCGUGCUUAACACAUGCAAGUCGAACGGUGAAGCGCCUUCCUUUUUGGUUGGUGUGGAUGAGUGGCGAACGGGUGAGUAACACGUGAGUAACCUGCCCCCUUCUUCUGGAUAACCGCAUGAAAGUGUGGCUAAUACGGGAUAUUCUGGGUCUGUCGCAUGAUGGGUCUGGGAAAGAUAUUGUUUCGGUGGGGGAUGGGCUCGCGGCCUAUCAGCUUGUUGGGGGGGUGAUGGCCUACCAAGGCGGUGAGGGGUAGCCGGCCUGAGAGGGUGGACGGUCACACUGGGACGGAGACACGGCCCAGACUCCUACGGGAGGCAGCAGGGGGGAAUAUUGCACAAUGGGCGAAAGCCUGAUGCAGCGACGCCGCGUGAGGGAUGGAGGCCUUCGGGUUGUGAACCUCUUUCGACAGUGAAGCAGGCCUGCCUCGUUUGUGGGUGGGUUGACGGUAGCUGGAUAAGAAGCGCCGGCUAACUACGUG
rnacentral:rRNA from 1 species